rnacentral:lncRNA from 10 species
CACAACCACAGAGAGGGGGAUGUUAUGAUCUCAUUUAACAGACAAGUUGGGCUGGGCACGGUGGCUCAUGCCUGUAAUCACAGCACUUUGGGAGGGUGGUGUCCAUGAUUCCAAGAUCAGGAAUACUGGGAAAUAUCAGUACCUCACAUCUGUCUAGCACUUUACAAAGCUCUAACAUAUAAAUAUUAUCACCUCAGUUCAUUCUUACACCACCCUACAAUACCUAUCAACCUUUGGGAAUUGUUAAGCAUAAUAACCCUAUACACUGGGCAAAGCAUACAGGGACCUCAGGGCCAUGGGUGAGAGGAAGGACACUGGGAGCCAAUGAGGGAUGUAGAGAGAGGGCCUUUCAGAGAUAACCAGGCAGAAGAGGACAUUGUACCAGAUGAUGGAGUCAGCUAGGGCUUGGGCAGGGAAGAGAAGAGCGUCACUGAUGGGUGAGACACAGCAGCACAAGAAGCUGAGGAGAGAGGCAGGUACUGAGGUUUAGGACAAGCUCCUCAGCUGUGGCAUGACUAUCUGUGAUCGGGAGGUGUAGGGAGACUGCGGGGAAAGAUCAGGCCCCACCCAGAAGAGUGCAGGGGCAGGCAGCGGGGUGGGUGGGAAACAAGGCAAAGCCUCAGUCCUGGCAGAAAUCAAGGCCACUGUCCCAUCCUAGCAACGGGGCAACACGUGGCAGUCACAUCGGGAGUAAAAGGUGAGCCCAGGAACCUUGAAAAUCACAGAGCUGCUUCGAAGUGAGCACAUUCAGUGAUGAUCUGGAGCCUAGCCUGGGAGAGUCAGGGAUAGGGUGGAAGGAAAUAAGACUGGGGGCAGGUAGGCCUCAAAUAUUGGGCUGAAGGGUUUGGCUUUUGUGCUGUUGUAGGCAAUGCGGAGCCCCUGGAGGCUGAGCUCACAGAUGGCUUUCUUUGUAGACCUGAGACAACACGCGAACGAAGAAUAUGAUCACUGUCCCGGGAAUGUGUGAGUUUUCCUCCACAAACUUACACAGUUUGGGCUCAUUUCUCUUCUUUUUGCAACACAUAGAAGACUGGAGAAUUUGGUGGGCAUACUGAUACUGCUUAACUCAAUAUGAACAGAGCUGGCUGUUAAAACUUGGUUGGACCCUAAUCAAAGUAUGCAGGGAACUCAGUAGGAUGGGCUGGAGAAGUGGGAGAGGAUGCCAGGACCAAGUGAGCCAGGGACUGAAGCAACUUUUUCUGAAUGUAUGAAAGAGAAAAGAAGAGCAAAUAUAUAUAUGUAAAUACGUGGUAACAGCAUUUUAUGUGUGUGGUGGCCUAGUUCCUUUAAUACUUGCUUACUCAAAUAGGUGUAUAUAUAAAAUAAGUUAAAAUUGUUUUUCAUUUGAGUGCUGAUUUUUUUUUUUCCUUUCAGCCUGAAAUAAGUCUCUGUGUGAAACAUGCAAAAAUUGCUGGCUUGGGUAGACACUACACACGCACACAGGCACACACACAUUUUAGAGACAGGGUCUUACUCUGUUGCCCAGGCUGGAGUGCAGUGAUACAAUCAUAGGGCCUUGCAGCCUUGAACUCCUGAGCUCAUGCAAUCCUCCUGCCUCAGCAAAACAUUUUGAGAGUUCAUGCAGAUUACUGAUUUUCUAAGCUUACUACAAGGUAUUUUUAAUUUUUUUUUAAUUUAAGUUUUUUUUCUUUUUGAGAAAGGGCUCACUCUGUCACCCAGGCUGGAGUGCAGUGGCACGAUCUUG